GAGUGUAUUGCACCUCUGUGGUAUAGACUGACUAUACCGCACAAGUGAUUAACUCUUAGCACCCCGGGUCCUAGCGUUUCCUCAUUUUAGAAAAUGUGAAUCUGCCUGCCAUUCUUGGAAGUAACCUCUGUGACUGGAAGAUGGAAGAACUGCCCCAGGCUCAGGUGUUGACUUUGAAGAGGGGCUUGAGCAGAGAGAAUGCUUAGAGGCUAAGCGAUGGGCAAGUGAGAGGGAAAGAGCCGCGACAGACAGAGCUGGCUGCCUAGGGGUCUCAGAGGCUUCAUCCUGCAGGCGGCAGGCGGCAGGACAAAGGGACCUUCGCACUCGAGAUCAAGAUUCCAAGGAGUUAAACGCUACCACGCAGCCCGACCUGGAUGGGAUUUGCUCCUGGGUACAAAACGGGACACUGAUCAAAAUCAACUUGGACAAGUGACAAGAGUGAGUCUUAUGUCGGUGGAUGUCUUUUAAGGUCGUUGGAGGGAAGAGGACGGGAGGGGUGUGCCGAGGGGUAGGUGGAGAGAGGCACCGAGUCCAGAGCCGGGAUAUAAAUGCACCAGGAGCCGGGGAGCAGAGGAGCAAAUGAGUGGGGGAAAGAGUGAGAGGAAGAGUUGGAGAAAAGUCGGGGGAAAGUAGGGACAGGGUUAAGGGGAGAGAGGAGGAUGAGGGCGGCGAGGAGAGAUUAAAAGGGGAAGGGGGGUCGCUGGAGAGGAGGGCGGACUGUGGAUCGGAGGUAGGGAGAGGGGCGAGGGG
rnacentral:lncRNA from 1 species